rnacentral:rRNA from 2 species
AGAAAUUAGUCCUCGCUUCGGGACGUGUAUACAGGUGGUGCACGGUUGUCGUCAGCUCGUGUCGUGAGAUGUUGGGUUAAGUCCCGCAACGAGCGCNACCCUCGUGAUUAGUUGCCGUCUAACGNAACUCUAGUCAGACUGCCGUAGUCAAUACGGAGGAAGGUGAGGAUGACGUCAAAUCAUCAUGUCCCUUAUGUCUUGGGCUACACACGUACUACAAUGACUACUACAGAGAGAAGCGAGACCGCGAGGUGGAGCAAAACUGAAAAAAGUAGUCCUAGUUCGGAUUGGAGGCUGAAACUCGCCUCCAUGAAGCUGGAAUUGCUAGUAAUCACAGGUCAGCAUACUGUGGUGAAUACGUUCCCGGGCCUUGUACACACCGCCCGU